GAGGCAGCCGACCGGCGGCGGGCAAGCUUGCCGGCCUGUGUUUUUAGGUUGUGGGGCCCAGCGUCUUUUCUGUUUUUUUAAAGAAAACUUCAAAAGUGUAAACCUAGGUUGGGCAUUAAAUACAUAUUUUUAAAUGCCCCCAGUAUCUUUGAUGCAUAGCAUUUGUGGACUGAGAGACCCCGCUGGCCAAAGGGGUUACGUGAAAAGAAUGUAGGUUUGUGUGGCUGGGGGCUGAACCCAGACUGGCGUCUUCGGAGUCCGCCACCAAGGCUGUCCUGGAGUAUUUCUGAGUGUGGACUUGGUACUCUCCGGAAGCUCAGUACUGUCCUGCCCCUCCGGGGUCUUUAGAGAAAGGCGACAGCUGUUGUUUAAAUAUUUAGCUGUGUGGCAAUAAGGCAUAUAGUUAGAAGUACUGCAAAGAUCCUGCAAAUUCAGCAGUUAUUUUGCUUCCUCAAAAAGAAGAAAAACUAAAGUUACUUUUUUUUGCAAGAAAAAAUUGGGCAAAACUUUACAUUUGUGGAGGGAUUACAAUUCCCAUUUUAGAGAAUUGAUUUUAUCUGGAUUUAAACUUUUACCAUUUUUUAAGAACAGUUAACAUUGGAGGAAAUUUCAGUGCUAGCAAUAAAAAUGUUAACUUGAAGCUAGCCACUAGUUUUAGUUUUUUGUAAUGGAUUAUGUAUUUUUAUGGAUUGAAGGAGUUUCACUAAACAGACAUGCCAUAGAUGUAACUCGACUUGGCUUUCUCUUUACGUUUGUUUUGUUAUCCUCUACCCAUAAUGUUAUAUAAAUGCAGUAAUAUUAGCAGAAUGUAUUAAGAAAUUUUUAAAAUGUGUCCCAACUCCAUCCAGUUAGGUGUUUAAAAUCCUGUUAUGGGCUUUCUCCAUACUCACUAUGAAGUGUGAGAUGGUCCCUUCCUCUAAAGACUGGCUGUUACACAUGGAGGUAUAUCUAAUAACCACUAAAAAAAGUUUAAUUUAGCUUUGAGUCAGUGAAGAUUGAAUUUGAUCUGGUUUUUAGUGGCCGUGAAGUUAACACAAAAACUUGGAAGGAAAAGUUGAGUGUGCAAGCUCCAACUAUUUUUCCAAGAAAACCGCUCAAACUUCAGAGGAAUGAUUAAAAGUCUUCAGAUGCUCAUCGGUGGUCCUUCAAAAUUUCUCUUUCCCAGAAAUAUCAGGAAUCUCUGCUGCAGUCUAAGUCCCUCCCCGAGAAUGUGUGGGCAGCUGGGCGGAGCCUAAGGCUGAGCCCUCUCGGUGACCUCAGCGGAAAGGAGCCAGCGAGCGUUGGACUGAGCAGAUAUUCUCGCGUCUUCAGAUGGAUUUUAAAAUUGAACACACUUGGGAUGGUUUUCCAGUGAAGCAUGAGCCAGUGUUUGUCAGACUAAAUCCAGGUGACAGAGGAGUGACGAUGGAAGUUAGUGCUCCAUUUUUCAAUGAUCCUCCAGCUCCACUUGGAGAACCAGGAAAGCCUUUCAAUGAACUGUGGAAUUAUGAAGUUGUGGAAGCAUUUUUCUUGAAUGACCUAACCAAACAGUAUUUAGAAGUUGAACUUUGUCCCCAUGGACAGCAUUUGGUGCUUUUACUCUCUGGAAGAAGAAAUGUGUGGAAACAAGAACUUGCUCUGUCAUUCAAAGUAUCCAGAGGAGAGACAAAAUGGGAAGGCAGAGCUUAUCUUCCUUGGACCUAUUUUCCACCAAAUGUGACAAAAUUCAAUUCAUUUGCAAUUCAUGGAUCUAGUGAUAAAAGAAGCUAUGAGGCUCUUUACCCUGUACCUCAGCAUGAGCUGCAACAAGGACAAAAACCUGAUUUCCAUCGUUUGGAAUACUUCAAGCCUUUCAAUUUUAACACACUGCUUGGAGAAGAAUGGAAACAACCCGAAUCAGACCUGUGGCUAAGAGAGAAACCUGAUAUAUAGGAGUGUAGUAGAUGACUAUAUCAAACAUUUCUUCUCUAUAUCUUUUAAGGCACUGCAGUACCUGGAGUACAUCUCUUGAAGAGAUAGCUGUGCUGAAAUAGAAAACCAAACUAUAAAUGGAGGCAUUCCAAGAAGUAAAAAUUGUGCUAAAUACAAAGUUGGAAUAUAGAAUUACCACAACAUGGGAGAGUUUAUCAGCACUGCACAGGCCUGUGACUCUCAAGUUUAAACCUGGGGUUCAAGACUUAUUGAUGGAAGUGAAUACUCCUUUCUGUGAUGUUCCCCAGCACUGCCAGGGGAAGCAGGACAGCCUUUUGAUGAACUCUUGGAGUAGGAAGGUAGGAAACAUACCUCUGUUGAAUAACUUGACCAAGAUCUCACAGCUGGUAAGUGGCAGAGCUAAACUGGAGUCCAGGCAAUCUGGCUUCGGAGUCCAUGCUCUUUAAUCCUCAUGCUAUUGCCUCUGUGGUUAACUUAAUAAUCAUUAUAUUAACUUGAGUUGCUAAGAUAAUUUCUUCAAAAUGAAUGUUAUAUUUUUCACACUUGUUUUAAUUGUGUGGAAAUUCACAUCUCAAAGAGGAGAAUAGUUUCAAUGAGUAAAACCCAAAUGUUUUGCAGUUUUAAUCAUAUAAAUGCAUAAAAUAUUAAAAACAGAAAACAAAAAAUAGUGCCCAUAUUUGAAAAUCUUGAAUAUUCAUAAGACUCGAAAUAUUUUGAUUUAUAGACUUAUACUGUACCUCUAGAUACUUUGUGAUUUAGUAAAAUCCAGUCUCCUGUAUUCAUCAGAAUUCUUUUAAUUAUAAAUGAAAGAAGUACAACUCAAGGAAAUUUGAGCAAAAACAGAGAAUUGUUGUCUCAGGUCCUUAAGUAGCUUAGACGUGGACUAGCUGGCCUGCCUCAAGCUUCCUCAAUCCAAAGAUUUAGAAUGAUGUCAACGGUUAUUUCUCUCUUGCUCUUUUUUCUUCUCACACUCUCAUGUUUUAGCUCCCAUUCGUCUCUACACCUCUUCCACAUCUCUGUGUGUCUAUCUUAAUUUUUUUCUUUUCUCCUACAGAGAGAGGCUUCUUUUAUGUCGUAGUGGUGAGAGAGAUGACUCAGGCAGUUGAAAAUUUACACAUAUCCAAGCUUAGCCACCUUAGAGGAAACAGAUUUCUUCUUCCCACUUCAGUAUAUAAGGAGGCUAUAAUACUGUAAUUGACAGCCCUGCCAGAAUUACAUGGUUGGAAGAGUGAGGAGCAGUUCUCCAAAGGGAGUGAGGGUUCUCAGAAAAAGGGAGAAGGAAAAUCUGGCAGAGGGAAGGGACUGGCAUCCAUUAUACCUCCUCGUCACUGGUACAGUCAUUAUAUCAUUCUCAAAUAUAAAUCCUUGUGGGUUAUUCAAGUUCAUGUUUUCUUUCUUCUUUUCCAUCUGGAAUCCUGCCUUUUGGCAAAUUUUCUGGAGUACUGAAUGGAAAAACAAAUGUGUGUAAGCUAUUUUGCCAUACACCAGGAACUGCUAAAAUACGUUGUUCUUGGGAGAUAAGAUUGAAAUUAUUAGCAUUUUAAUUUCUUCUGUUAAAAGCAUUUGUCUUGUGUAGUCCUGAGAUAAAUAAGAAAAUCAAGAGUUUGUCAUUUUGGCUUUUUCAAGUUCUUAUGUGUUAAGACUUCUCUGAGUAUCUAAUAGGUAUACUUAAUUAACCACAUUUCUUGCCAAUUUGAAGAUUUUAUUAUUUAGGUUAUAUAUAAAGGUAAGCAUUUUACUGUAAGUAGUUAUUGCCUAUAUAACAUAAUUUACCUUGUCUUUCUAAGGCAGGAUUCUGGAAGGAAGUAAAUUAUCUUGGUAUGUUAGAAGAAGUUCUUCUUCAUUUUGUCUUAAUAGAGCAUCCGUCCAUGUAGUUUCUAAUUCUUGAAAUAAAUGUGUGUAAUGAAGAAAAUGAAAUCAUUUUUAUGUAAAAAAUAUGUCUUGAUUACUGAUUCAUUUAUUUAAAACACUUUUUUUAAAGUGCCUACUAUGCUCCAGGCACUGUUUUUGGUGCAGGGGAUACAAUAAUGAAAAAAAAAUAGGCCAAAGUUCUUUCCUCGUGGAAAAGUGUGAUUGACUUAUAAAUGACAUUUAUUGAGGACUUAGUAUAUGCCAGGCUAUGCUAAGCACAUUACACAUAUUAUCUUGUUCAGUCUUUGCCUGGGAAGGAAGUAGUCUUAUUUUGCCCAUUUUAUAGGUGAGGAAGCUGAGGUAUACUAAUCCCUGGCAGAGCAGGGAUUCAAACACAGAUUCAUCUGACCUGGAAUCCAUGCUCUUAAACAGCACUGUGUUGCUUCCAGUGCCCAGAGCAUUGGCAGGUACAGAGUCGAGUCUCCAGAAAUGAUCGUUGAACAAAUGUAUUUCUGAGCCCUGCUUAUAACAAUGGCAUUGUGUUAGGCACUAGAGACAGUGCAAAGAUUAGUGUGAUAUAGUCCUUUCCUUUAUUUACUUUAAUUAAACUUAUUAAUGAAUUGGAGGGAGCCAUUAACUAAGAUGUUUAUAAAGUGACAGAAUCUAGGGCAGAUAGAAAUAUAAGUAUGGCAAAAGCCAACAGACAUCAUGUUAUAAAUUAGAGUAGUAAAUUACUCCAUGAUUGUAACCUGAAUCAAUCAAACAGUCUCCAACUGCUACUAUGAAUGAUUAAUGAAAGGAAUUUUGAGUUCCAAUCAAAUUAAUCUCAAAACCAUGAGACAUCAUUUUAUUUCUGUACUCUGAAUCUAGAGCUUGCCCUCUAGAUUUUUGAACUUAUUUGUUUGAAAUUUUGUGGUUGUUUUUUAAAAAGGGUAGACAUAUGUGAAACUUGGUAUUCUAUAAAAAUGGUAAUUAACGCAAAAUUUUUUCUAGUUAUCCAGAUGUAUUUCCUAGUAAUCUAUUCCUUGUUUAUAAGUCAUUUAGUUCUAAACGUUGCCUUUUCAUCACUCCUUCCUCUUCUUUCCUCAUUCGCGACGGCCCUCCCACUUGCUCUCCCUCCUCCCAACUUUCCUUUUCCUACCUGGCAUAGAAUUGUAGAAUAUUAGGGCUGGAAGAAACUUUAAGGGCCAUCUAUUCCAAGCUUUUAUUAGUUCAGAAAUCUCUCCUUCCAUCUUGUUGGUGGAACACAUUAUCCAACCUUUGUUUGAAAAGAAGAUCUAGUGUUAGAAGUGCAAUAGCUUCUAAAGAAUGCCAUUGUUAGAAAGUAAUUUCCUCUAUUGAAUUGAAACUCACUUCUACGCACUUGCUAGGUGUUGUUCCUAGUUUUGCCUUUUAAAUGAACAAAAGCAAGUUUUAUUUCUCAUCUAUGUGAUAAGUUUGACCGAAACCUAAUCACAGGGCCACAUCUAACUUCAAGGGAGGCUGGGAAAUGUCACCUCUAGCCAGACAGUCACAAGCCAGCUAAGCCCAAUGGUGUCUGUCAUUAAAAGGUAAGAAGAGGAGAAUAGAUGCUGUUGGACAAUCAGCAGUAAGCUGCAUGUAGAAAACAGGAAAUCAAGUAAACAUAAGCAUCAUUUCUGUGUUCUUCUAUGUGGUGGUCAGUCAGCUGCAGCCACAGAGGAGACACAGGAGAGGUUCAAGAAAGCAAAGCUUGUUAUACUCAUAGGUCCUAGAAACAGGAGGCACGCCGUGCCAUGAAGGGCCACAUGGGAAAGCACUAACAUGGGUCAGGAGGCAUGGGGGCAGGAGGGAGGGGAGCCUAGGCCACUGCAUUUAUUGGAGCUUCUGAGAGAAAGGCAAGUCAGAGCAGGGUAAACAGUUUAGGAUUGGCUAGUUUGAAUAAUUUUGAUGGGCUCUAAGCUCUAAGGGUGGUCCCUAGUUUCCACCUGACCCUGGGAUGGUUAAGGCAGAGACUAUUGCCUCCUGGGGUGUAUGGCCAGAUGGAGGAGGAAUGGCUCUGGAUUGGUUAGUUUACACAUCAAGGUUGUGCUCCGCACUGGGCCCUUUGCUAUCUCUAAGAAUUGGCUAGUCCAGGGUGGGGCAGUCUCUCCCCAGCCAGAAAGGUUUUUAAAGAUGU